UGGGGGAUAUUGCACAAUGGGAGGAAUCCUGAUGCAGCAACGCCGCGUGAGUGAAGAAGGCUUUCGGGUCGUAAAGCUCUGUCGUAUAGGAAGAAAAAAAUGACAGUACUAUACAAGAAAGCCCCGGCUAACUACGUGCCAGCAGCCGCGGUAAUACGUAGGGGGCAAGCGUUAUCCGGAAUUACUGGGCGUAAAGGGUGCGUAGGCGGUUUAACAAGUUAAGGUUAAAAGGCAGUAGCUCAACUACUGUUCGGCCUUAAAACUGUUAAACUUGAGUAUAGGAGAGGAAAGUGGAAUUCCCAGUGUAGCGGUGAAAUGCGUAGAUAUUGGGAGGAAUACCGGUGGCGAAGGCGACUUUCUGGACUAUAACUGACGCUGAGGCACGAAAGCGUGGGUAGCAAACA
rnacentral:rRNA from 2 species